rnacentral:lncRNA from 10 species
CUCUGUCUCAAAAACAACAACAAAAACAACAACAAACAAACAAAAAUCCAAAAUGGACAGAGACUUCUAAAUGAACCCCCAGUGAUAUCAGACAGAUGAAAAGACUGUUUUUAUGUCAUAACAUGUUUAACGUGGAUGGCAGACAGGGCAUGGAUAUGAAAAGUCUUUUCUAAGGAAUGAUCAGGAUGGGAUUGGCAUGCAAUGACAGAUAUUUGGGUUUUGACUAUUCUCAGCUUCCUCUCCUAAAAAAAUAGUCGACUGCACUCAUUUAAUUCUACAACAGGGAUGCUCUUUGAAAAUAAAUUAUUUUAGAGGAUAUAAAAAAGAUUAAACCUUGAAAUUUCUUUGUUUUGUGCUCAUACAUCCUUCUCCUUCUCUUUUUCUGACCCCAGUGUGUGGGAACAGUGUAACCUGAACAAGAACGUAGUGUCUAUAGGAUGAGUGACACUUGGAAGCAGAGGCAGAGUGCUACAUGGACACCUGACUGUACCAAAUGGUUAUUGUGUUUUCUCAAUCAGACGCCAAUUGCGGAAUACCAGCUGAUAUUCUACCCUCAACUCAUGCUAAAAGCUUUCUAGUCUUUCUCAAGGAAACCUGUCCAAAGGGAUAUGUGAUCCCAGGAAUUAUUAUUGUAUAAGUAAUACUUGGAUGUUUUUACUAAUAGUUCACACAUUUCACAGCCCUUUGGUGGAGAGCCUUUUUCGUUAAUGUUCUGUUCAAGAAUAAUUGCAUAGUAUUUAUAAUCCUCUCAGGGAUUAAGUAUAGAUGUAAUACACAACUCAAAGAUGCUUGUUGAUGUUCACUUUGUAAAAAUUCAUCAAGUUGUAUACUUGAUAUUUGUGCACUUUCUGUGUUACAUAUUUUUUAAUUAAAUACUUAUAGAAACUAU